GACGAACGCUGGCGGCGUGCUUAACACAUGCAAGUCGAACGGAAAGGCCUCUUUCGGGGGGUACUCGAGUGGCGAACGGGUGAGUAACACGUGAGUAACCUGCCCUUGACUUUGGGAUAACUUCAGGAAACUGGGGCUAAUACCGGAUAGGAGCUCCUGCUGCAUGGUGGGGGUUGGAAAGUUUCGGCGGUUGGGGAUGGACUCGCGGCUUAUCAGCUUGUUGGUGGGGUAGUGGCUUACCAAGGCUUUGACGGGUAGCCGGCCUGAGAGGGUGACCGGCCACAUUGGGACUGAGAUACGGCCCAGACUCCGACGGGAGGCAGCAGGGGGGAAUAUUGCACAAUGGGUGGAAGCCUGAUGCAGCAACGCCGUGUGCGGGAUGACGGCCUUCGGGUUGUAAACCGCUUUCGCUCAUGACGAAGCUUUGUGUGACGGUAGUGGGUAAAGAAGCACCGGCUAACUACGUG
rnacentral:rRNA from 1 species